UACGAAGGGGGCGAGCGUUGUUCGGAUUUACUGGGCGUAAAGGGCUCGUAGGCGGCCAACUAAGUCAGACGUGAAAUCCCUCAGCUUAACUGGGGAACUGCGUCUGAUACUGGAUGGCUUGGAUUCGGGAGAGGAAUGCGGAAUUCCAGGUGUAGCGGUGAAAUGCGUAGAUAUCUGGAGGAACACCGGUGGCGAAGGCGGCAUUCUGGACCGAUAUUGACGCUGAGGAGCGAAAGCCAGGGGAGCAAACGGG
rnacentral:rRNA from 1 species